rnacentral:rRNA from 1 species
UGAUUAAGAUAGCUUGCUAUUUUUAUGAAGAGCGGCGAACGGGUGAGUAACGCGUGGGAAAUCUGCCGAGUAGCGGGGGACAACGUUUGGAAACGAACGCUAAUACCGCAUAACAAUGAGAAUCGCAUGAUUCUUAUUUAAAAGAAGCAAUUGCUUCACUACUUGAUGAUCCCGCGUUGUAUUAGCUAGUUGGUAGUGUAAAGGACUACCAAGGCGAUGAUACAUAGCCGACCUGAGAGGGUGAUCGGCCACACUGGGACUGAGACACGGCCCAGACUCCUACGGGAGGCAGCAGUAGGGAAUCUUCGGCAAUGGGGGCAACCCUGACCGAGCAACGCCGCGUGAGUGAAGAAGGUUUUCGGAUCGUAAAACUCUGUUGUUAGAGAAGAACGUUAAGUAGAGUGGAAAAUUACUUAAGUGACGGUAUCUAACCAGAAAGGGACGGCUAACUACGUGCCAGCAGCCGCGGUAAUACGUAGGUCCCAAGCGUUGUCCGGAUUUAUUGGGCGUAAAGCGAGCGCAGGUGGUUUCUUAAGUCUGAUGUAAAAGGCAGUGGCUCAACCAUUGUGUGCAUUGGAAACUGGGAGACUUGAGUGCAGGAGAGGAGAGUGGAAUUCCAUGUGGUAG